rnacentral:rRNA from 1 species
UACGUAGGGUGCGAGCGUUAAUCGGAAUUACUGGGCGUAAAGCGUGCGCAGGCGGUUCGUUAUGUCCGAUGUGAAAGCCCCGAGCUCAACCUGGGAAUGGCGUUUGAAACUACGGAGCUGGAGUGUGGCAGAGGGAGGUAGAAUUCCACGUGUAGCGGUGAAAUGCGUAGAUAUGUGGAGGAAUACCGAUGGCGAAGGCAGCCUCCUGGGCCAACACUGACGCUCAUGCACGAAAGCGUGGGGAGCAAACAGG